GACGAACGCUGGCGGCGUGCUUAACACAUGCAAGUCGAGCGGUAAGGCCCUUUCGGGGGUACGACGAGCGGCGAACGGGUGAGUAACACGUGGGUGACCUGCCCUCAGCUCUGGGAUAAGCCUGGGAAACCGGGUCUAAUACUGGAUAUGACUCCAUGACGCAUGUUGUGGGGUGGAAAGCCUUGUGCGGCUGAGGAUGGGCCCGCGGCCUAUCAGCUUGUUGGUGGGGUGAUGGCCUACCAAGGCGACGACGGGUAGCCGGCCUGAGAGGCGACCGGCCACACUGGGACUGAGACACGGCCCAGACUCCUACGGGAGGCAGCAGUGGGGAAUCUUGCGCAAUGGGCGAAAGCCUGACGCAGCGACGCCGCGUGAGGGAUGACGGCCU
rnacentral:rRNA from 1 species